GGUAGCAUAAUCAUUAGUCUUUUAAUUGGAGACUGGUAUGAAUGGCUAAACGAGAGAUCAACUUUUUUUACUGUAAAAAUUGAAUUUAACUUUUUAGUGAAAAGGCUAAAAUUUUUCAGAAAGACGAGAAGACCCUAUAGAGUUUUAUAAAGGACUAAUACUUUUUAUUUGGAUUUUUAUAAAAAAUAUUAAUAAAUUUAUUUUGUUGGGGCGACAUUUAGAUAAAAAAAACUCUUUAUAAGAAAAAUUUUUAUGAAAAUAUGGAUUGAUCCUUUAAAAAAGAUCAUAAGAAAAAAUUACCUUAGGGAUAACAGCGUAAUCUUUUUUGAGAGUUCUAAUCGACAAGAAGGUUUGCGACCUCGAUGUUGGACUAAAAUUAGGGCAGGGU
rnacentral:rRNA from 1 species